rnacentral:rRNA from 1 species
AGAGUUUGAUCCUGGCUCAGAACGAACGUUGGCGGCGUGGAUUAGGCAUGCAAGUCGAACGAGAAAGCUUCCUUCGGGAAGUGAGUAGAGUGGCGAACGGGUGAGUAACGCGUGGGAAACCUGCCCUUGAGCGGGGGAUAACAUCCCUAACGGGGUGCUAAUACCGCAUGAUGCGGCGAGUCGCAUGGCUCGCCGGCAAAGGUGGCCUCUUCAUGAAAGCUGCCGCUUAAGGAUGGUCCCGCGUCCCAUUAGCUUGUUGGUGGGGUAAUGGCCUACCAAGGCGACGAUGGGUAGCCGGCCUGAGAGGGUGUCCGGCCACACUGGGACUGAGAUACGGCCCAGACUCCUACGGGAGGCAGCAGUCGAGAAGCUUCGGCAAUGGGCGAAAGCCUGACCGAGCGACGCCGCGUGAGCGAUGAAGGCCCUAGUGGUUGUAAAGCUCUGUCAGUAGGGAAUAAAGCUAGAUAGCGAAUAACUAUCUGGUCUGAAGGUACCUACAGAGGAAGCUCCGGCUAACUCCGUGCCAGCAGCCGCGGUAAUACGGAGGGAGCAAACGUUGUUCGGAAUCACUGGGUGUAAAGGGUGCGUAGGCGGCCUUGUCCGUCAGAGGUGAAAUCUACCGGCUCACCCGGUUAGACUGCCUCUGAAACUGCAAGGCUUGAGUCCGUGAGGGGAUGGUGGAAUUCCUGGUGUAACGGUGAAAUGUGCAGAUAUCAGGAAGAACACCGGUGGCGAAGGCGGCCAUCUGGCACGGUACUGACGCUGAGGCACGAAAGCUAGGGUAUCGAACGGGAUUAGAUACCCCGGUAGUCCUAGCCGUAAACGAUGUCAACUAGGUGUUGGAGGUCCUACCCCUUCAGUGCCGCAGCUAACGCAUUAAGUUGACCACCUGGGGAGUACGCUCGCAAGGGUGAAACUCAAAGGAAUUGACGGGGGCCCGCACAAGCGGUGGAGCAUGUGGUUUAAUUCGAUGCAACGCGAAGAACCUUACCGGGGUUUGACAUCCGGGGGACCGCUGUAGAGAUACAGCUUCUCUUUGAGUCGCCGGACAGGUGCUGCAUGGCUGUCGUCAGCUCGUGUCGUGAAAUGUUGGGUUAAGUCCCGCAACGAGCGCAACCCUUGCCCUUAGUUGCCAGCACGUAAUGGUGGGAACUCUAGGGGGACUGCCGGUGAUAAACCGGAGGAAGGUGGGGAUGACGUCAAGUCAUCAUGGCCCUUACAUCCCGGGCUACACACGUGCUACAAUGGUCGGUACAAUGGGCUGCGAACCCGCGAGGGGGAGCCAAUCCCAAAAAGUCGGCCUCAGUUCGGAUUGCAAUCUGUAACUCGAUUGCAUGAAGUCGGAAUCGCUAGUAAUCGCGGAUCAGCAUGCCGCGGUGAAUCCGUUCCCGGGCCUUGUACACACCGCCCGUCAAGUCAACCGAAUUGGCUGCACCCGAAGUCGUUCUGCCAACCCGUAAGGGGGGCAUGCGCCGAAGGUGUGGUUGGUGAGGGGGGACUAAGUCGUAACAAGGUA